UACGAAGGGUGCUAGCGUUGCUCGGAAUUACUGGGCGUAAAGGGAGCGUAGGCGGACAUUUAAGUCAGGGGUGAAAUCCCGAGGCUCAACCUCGGAACUGCCUUUGAUACUGGAUGUCUUGAGUGUGAGAGAGGUGAGUUGAACUCCGAGUGUAGAGGUGAAAUUCGUAGAUAUUCGGAAGAACACCAGUGGCGAAGGCGACUCACUGGCUCAUUACUGACGCUGAGGCUCGAAAGCGUGGGGAGCAAACAGG
rnacentral:rRNA from 1 species